rnacentral:rRNA from 1 species
GACGAACGCUGGCGGCGUGCCUAAUACAUGCAAGUAGAACGCUGAAGAGAGGAGCUUGCUCUUCUUGGAUGAGUUGCGAACGGGUGAGUAACGCGUAGGUAACCUGCCUUGUAGCGGGGGAUAACUAUUGGAAACGAUAGCUAAUACCGCAUAACAAUGGAUGACACAUGUCAUUUAUUUGAAAGGGGCAAUUGCUCCACUACAAGAUGGACCUGCGUUGUAUUAGCUAGUAGGUGAGGUAAUGGCUCACCUAGGCGACGAUACAUAGCCGACCUGAGAGGGUGAUCGGCCACACUGGGACUGAGACACGGCCCAGACUCCUACGGGAGGCAGCAGUAGGGAAUCUUCGGCAAUAGGGGCAACCCUGACCGAGCAACGCCGCGUGAGUGAAGAAGGUUGUCGGAUCGUAAAGCUCUGUUGUAAGUCAAGAACGGGUGUGAGAGUGGAAAGUUCACACUGUGACGGUAGCUGACCAGAAAGGGACGGCUAACUACGUG